AGAGUUUGAUCAUGGCUCAGGAUGAACGCUAGCGGCAGGCCUAACACAUGCAAGUCGAGGGGUAACAUAGGAGCUUGCUUCUGAUGACGACCGGCGCACGGGUGCGUAACGCGUAUACAAUCUACCUUUUGCUGAGGAAUAGCCCAGAGAAAUUUGGAUUAAUGCCUCAUAGUAUGGAGACUUCGCAUGGAGACUCUAUUAAAGGUUACGGCAAAAGAUGAGUAUGCGUCCUAUUAGUUAGUUGGUGUGGUAACGGCACACCAAGACAGCGAUAGGUAGGGGCCCUGAGAGGGGGAUCCCCCACACUGGUACUGAGACACGGACCAGACUCCUACGGGAGGCAGCAGUGAGGAAUAUUGGACAAUGGAGGCAACUCUGAUCCAGCCAUGCCGCGUGCAGGAAGACUGCCCUAUGGGUUGUAAACUGCUUUUAUACAGGAAGAAACCGCUCUACGUGUAGAGCUCUGACGGUACUGUAAGAAUAAGGAUCGGCUAACUCCGUGCCAGCAGCCGCGGUAAUACGGAGGAUCCAAGCGUUAUCCGGAAUCAUUGGGUUUAAAGGGUCCGUAGGUGGAUAAUUAAGUCAGAGGUGAAAUCCUGCAGCUCAACUGUAGAAUUGCCUUUGAAACUGGCUAUCUUGAGUUAUUAUGAAGUAGUUAGAAUAUGUAGUGUAGCGGUGAAAUGCAUAGAUAUUACAUAGAAUACCAAUUGCGAAGGCAGAUUACUAAUAAUCAACUGACACUGAUGGACGAAAGCGUGGGGAGCGAACAGGAUUAGAUACCCUGGUAGUCCACGCCGUAAACGAUGGUCACUAGCUGUUUGGACUUCGGUCUGAGUGGCUAAGCGAAAGUGAUAAGUGACCCACCUGGGGAGUACGUUCGCAAGAAUGAAACUCAAAGGAAUUGACGG
rnacentral:rRNA from 1 species